GGUUUCUGCUCCUCAGCAGCGACCUCAACUUCCCCAGAAACGCAAAAGUAGGACAGAGCAGCCUGUCCAACAGAAAGAGAGACAACAGAAUGUAAACGCUGCUCGAGUGGGUUCGCCUCCUUUACCUCCAAGCAGACAUCAAA